rnacentral:rRNA from 1 species
GCUGACGAGUGGCGGACGGGUGAGUAAUGCUUGGGAAUCUGGCUUAUGGAGGGGGAUAACGACGGGAAACUGUCGCUAAUACCGCGUAGUAUCGGAAGAUGAAAGUGCGGGACCUUAGGGCCGCAUGCCAUAGGAUGAGCCCAAGUGGGAUUAGGUAGUUGGUAGGGUAAAGGCCUACCAAGCCUGCGAUCUCUAGCUGGUCUGAGAGGAUGGCCAGCCACACCGGGACUGAGACACGGCCCGGACUCC